rnacentral:lncRNA from 1 species
CCAUGACUUAAGCAAAAAUGGCAACUGGUGAUAUAGCUGGCUUUAAUUCCUAAUAUUGACACUCAAAAGCAAGGAAAUAGAUGGCUGACUCCUGGAUGAUAGUAUCAUGACUUAUUAUUAUUUUUGGACACAGUUGAAGAGGUUAUAAUUUAAAAACUUCUAAUGAUGAAUGUCUAGAGAAAUCUUAAGGUUAAAUGUUUAAGGAUCAUUCUUUUUAAUACUGAAAUAUUUAGUAUGAUGCUUUCUGUAAGACACUAAUGGAAGACAAUUGAACCAUAAAUUAAAAGU